UGUGUAGGCGGUUCUUUAAGUUUGGUGUGAAAUCUCCCGGCUUAACCGGGAGGGUGCGCCGAAUACUGAGGGACUAGAGUACGGGAGAGGAAAGUGGAAUUCCUGGUGUAGCGGUGAAAUGCGUAGAUAUCAGGAGGAACACCGGUGGUGUAGACGGCUUUCUGGACCGUAACUGACGCUGAGACACGAAAGCGUGGGUAGCAAAC
rnacentral:rRNA from 1 species